rnacentral:rRNA from 1 species
GGGGAAUAUUGGGCAAUGGGCGCAAGCCUGACCCAGCAACGCCGCGUGAAGGAAGAAGGCUUUCGGGUUGUAAACUUCUUUUGUCAGGGACGAAGCAAGUGACGGUACCUGACGAAUAAGCCACGGCUAACUACGUGCCAGCAGCCGCGGUAAUACGUAGGUGGCAAGCGUUAUCCGGAUUUACUGGGUGUAAAGGGCGUGUAGGCGGGAAAGCAAGUCAGAUGUGAAAACUAUGGGCUCAACCCAUAGCUUGCAUUUGAAACUGUUUUUCUUGAGUACUGGAGAGGCAGAUGGAAUUCCUAGUGUAGCGGUGAAAUGCGUAGAUAUUAGGAGGAACACCAGUGGCGAAGGCGAUCUGCUGGACAGCAACUGACGCUGUGGCGCGAAAGCGUGGGGAGCAAAC